GAAUAUUCAGUUUACAAAUUCUAGAGAAAUUCCGCAGAGAGAAAAGUAUGCCUCAAAUUCUGUUUAGAAGACUAUUCUACUCAAUUGUUGCAAGCUACAAAUAGCUCAAAAGAAAAAAAGUUCUCCAGACUCUGAAGAAUAAACAAUGUUUCAAACAAACAAACAAACAAAGGCCAUAAAAACUUAUUUCAGUCCUCCAUUAGUUUAAUCCAUGCAAUCAUCUUCUGCUCUGCUUCAUACAGGGCUAGCAAUCUCUAUGAACACAUCAGCCUUUCUAUUAGUGCCUUGGAGAUUUUCUCUUUAGUUCAAUGGCACGAUCUCCAAAGUUAUCUGAAACCUGCAUCCAAGAAUCCUUUUCAUGGACUUCUCCAAAAAACCAAGGCCUGGACUGUAACUGAUUAUAAGUCACUUUUUGAGAAGAAUCAAAGCAAACAACAAUUGUGGAUGACAAAAGCCUUUAAGACAGCAAUAGUUAUAGACACAGUUGACAAGGGAAUUUGGUUGCUUCUGUGGCACACAAUUUAACAUAAUAAUCGUAAUUAUCACUGACAGCAUAUCAGAACUCUAGGAAUCUCAUACAAUCCUGGAACACACAUUAACAACACAUCUGUGUCAACAGAACCCAAAGGAAGUGAAACACCACUUCAGAUUUGACAAUGCUUCUUGCAUAAUUCUAGCAUAACAAAUAAGCCUAAGAAGCCUAAUAUAUCUUUCUUGGACUUCAAGAACCUAAUAUCCAAAAAGUUAAUUUGAGGUCCAAAAGGCUUAAUAUGGAAAUUUUACUCUUAGAAAGUUUGCCAAAUACCCAAGUUUUCAGAGACUUGAUAUCACAAAAUAGGAUCACAGGUCACCUUAAAAUAGUCAAUCAUUUAGCCAAAAGGUAAGCAAAAAUAUUUUAUCUAUUAUUAAUAUUACACAAACAUUUUGAUCAAAAGAAAAAACUAAAUUUUACCUUUGUGUGGUGUAUUAAAAUGUUAAAGAUAAUUUUAAUAAAACCUUAUACACAAAUUUAAUUAUAAUCAGUUUAACCAUAAGGUAAGAGUUUCAAAAAUCUUUCAUGACCUUUUAUACUUUUCUUUGAAAAAGCAGAUGAAUGCUCUAGAAAACCCUGUUAUUCCAAUACACAGGCCCAGUUGCUGGCCUCGCAUCAGUGUGCCUCUGAGCGUAAUGUCUAAUUUACAGAAAAUCUCUGAAUUUGAGAGGCCAGGGUGGGUGGGUCGCUUGAACUCAGGAGUUUGAGACUAGCCUGGGCAAUAUGGUGAAACAUUGUGUCUACCAAAAAUGUAAAAAAGAAAAAAAAAAA
rnacentral:lncRNA from 1 species